rnacentral:lncRNA from 12 species
GGUGCCUCAGUGAUUGGGCAGCCGGAGACACGUGACCCGAGCCCGCCAAUCCGAGUGCUCCGAGCCCCGUGCCUCAGAGACCAGAGAAGUGUGGACGCCUGACGUGGCCGGCGCGCGCGAGGCCUGUCCUGGGCUUUUGUGGACUCUGGAGCGGGCGGUGGUCCGGAGUGUCCGUGUCUUUUGUCUCUGGGAGGAGAAGAGCCAAAGGUCUAUGACUGGAAGCAUAUCAGGAAGAUCUAUGCAAAAGUCAAGAUGAUAAAGUUUCUGGCUCACUUUUAUAGCAUGGGGAGCUGAGAAGCACACCAUGAAUCAGGUAUGUUUUCAUUGCUUCCCCCAAGUUCACAGGUCUCAGUAAGAGUUUGUCCUGAUGACCCCAGAGCCCAAGUGGCUCAUGAUUGUGAGGCCUGAUUUCUUUUGCUAAACCUUCUAUUUCAUACUCAUAAUUCAGGUGCCUCAGCUGUUGCCAUGUGACAAAACCUUUGAUGAAGGCUGGGAGUCUUAAUGAACCAAUAAUUAGUUUUAAGAACAUAAGUCGACACAAAAGCACAACUAAUGCCUUUUUAAUUGCUUUUGCUCUCAUGUUUUAGCAAACGCAUACCCUGUGUCUCAUGGAAUCAUAGUAACUCUGACACCCCUCUGGGGACCCAGAGGCCCCAGUCUUGGAUGGGGAUACUGCAGGGCAGGGACCCUAGGCUUUGCCUGGUCCUCUUGCUAGCCCUGGGCCAUGGACAGGAAAACUGAUCCACAGACUCAUAAGAUACUUACAGACACAGGGUCUUCUGGAUGAGAACUCUAAAAAGCCAAGGACACACAAGAUCCAGAGCUUUCAAGGAGCUGACUUGAGAGAGGAAGCUGGGAAGAUGGACUCAAUGAGGGAGAACUAGAAGUAUCUUUUAUUACUCCUUGGAAGAAUUCUGUAUCUCAGUCUCCAGACUUAGCUGUUAGCUCUGUGGAUGGAAGCUCCUUUUCUGUAGUCUUCAGCUUAUGUGUGAAGGUUCUGUCCUUGGUGUGGAUGACACAGUCAGUGAGCAGUAAUCAGAUAAAAAUAAAGCAGUUCUAUUUUUGAUAAGCA